rnacentral:rRNA from 1 species
AUUGAACGCUAGCGGGAUGCCUUACACAUGCAAGUCGAACGGAGUGGCUGACGGGUGAGUAAUGUAUCGGAACGUGCCCGGUAGCGGGGGAUAACUACGCGAAAGCGUAGCUAAUACCUCAUACUAUUGAACGGGCCGGUAUCGGAUUAGCUAGUUGGUGGGGUAACGGCUCACCAAGGCGACGAUCCGUAGCUGGUUUGAGAGGACGACCAGCCACACUGGGACUGAGACACGGCCCAGACUCCUACGGGAGGCAGCAGUGGGGAAUUUUGGACAAUGGGGGAAACCCUGAUGCAGCCAUGCCGCGUGUGUGAUGAAGGCCUUCGGGUUGUAAAGUACUUUUGGCAGGAAAGCGGUACCUGCAGAAGAAGCACCGGCUAACUACGUGCCAGCAGCCGCGGUAAUUC